rnacentral:misc_RNA from 1 species
UUAGCAUGCGCGGUUAGCUGC